GGUCCCGCCCACUUGAAGUGUUGUCCUGCUGUGGCCAUUUUACACUUUGGAUCCGUGAGAAACUAAACAGGCUUCUCACCUGCGCUGCUCGCUGACAUUUAAAGAGCUGCCGUCGGUUACAUGUCACGCUGCAGAGAGAAAAGGUCAGAGACUGGGACCAGAGUCAGUGGGCCGACAUGGACUAUGAGCGGAGGGGCGGACGAGGCGACCGCAUAGGUCGCUACGGCAACAACCACAAUGACCACAACUUCCGGGACAUGGACUACAGAGGGUAUGGACAAGAGGACGAAGAGUCAGGAACAGGAUAUGAUGUCCGAGCGGAGGGAGCUGGACCGUAUGGCCGUGACGAGCAAUCACUGGGCGGCCCUGACUUCCCACCAGGUCGUCUCCAGGAUCGCCCGGGGUUCCGCAAGAGAGGAGAUGGGCGAGGGGACGCUGCGCACGAGGGGAAGGGGCUCCCAUGGCCCCCUUGCUCUCAGUUGCGGCCUGAUCUAGCCCUUCCUUUGCUCCAGAGGGAUGAGGACGGGUCCAGGCGGGAAUUUGAGCAGCUACAGACUGGCCUGCAGCAAAAGGGCAGAGGGAAAGGUGGAAGGGGCUUCCCAGAGAACAGUGGCCCUCACGCAGGUAGUAAAGAAUGCAACUGGAGUCGUGGUGGUGCCCAUUCUGAAGAAAUGGAUUAUAAUCCGGCAAGACAGAGAGACGAGGACAGAUUCUCUCGUGGGGGAAUGAAGAGGAGGGCUUUUCCAGCGGGGUCAGAGGAUGAUUGCGAGGGCAGUGGUCUUGACCUGUCCCUUGAAGAGAUGGAACAGAGAGACCAGGACUACCGUGCAGAUCUAGACCACAACCAGAGGCCCAGCAACAUCAUAAUGCUGCGUAUGCUUCCUCCCAAUGCCACAGCCAAUGAGAUUCGUGCACAACUUCAGGAGCAGGGGAUUCUGCCAAGAGAGGUUCGCCUCAUGAGAAACAAAUCUUCAGGUCAGAGCCGAGGAUUCGCCUUCGUCGAGUUUAAUCUCAUACAGGAGGCCACCCGCUGGAUGGAGACCAACCAGGGAGUGCUGAUGAUUCUGGGGCAGAGGGUGUCGAUGCACUUCAGCGACCCAAAGCCGCGUGCCAACGAGGACUGGCUCUGCAACAAGUGCGGUGUGCAAAACUUUAAAAGGAGAGAAAAGUGCUUCAAAUGCAGUGUUCCUAAAUCAGAGGCUGAGCUGAAGUUGCCCCAGUUGCCGAGGGAUUUGCCUGUUGGGCUUCAAAAGGACGGAGCUCAGGGUUUACUGCCCCUCCCAGUACCCUACCAUUCCUCUGGUCCUACUGUCGCCCCAGGACAAGCUGCACAGCAGGCAGAUGUUGCAAAUGACACUCUGAUACUAAGAAACCUUGGCCCUCAUACUUCAGUAGAAGCCAUUUUAUCUGCUUUGGCUCCAUUUGCCACACUGUCCCCUUCAAAUAUUCGCCUCAUCAAGGACAAGCACACGCAUCUCAACAGGGGCUUUGCCUUUCUACAGCUUUCUACCAUAGUGGAGGCAUCACAGCUGCUCCAGAUCUUACAGGCUCUGCAGCCACCUCUCUCUAUUGACGGCAAGGCGAUUGUGGUGGAGUUUGCCAAAGGCUCAAAACGUGAUGUGUUCCUGACUGACGGAAGCAGAGUGAGUGCUGCGACAGUGGCCAGCACAGCAAUAGCAGCUGCACAGUGGUCUGUGACGCAGACUCCGCAGAAUGGAUCAAGCGGAGGCCAGAGUGUAGAUACAGGAGUGUAUCAGCAGGGGUCAGCAGUAACCUACAAUCAGGAAGGGCAUGAAUACCCUGGACCAGAUGGUGCAACUUUCAAGGCCCAGGCAGAUGCCAGGGUUCCUGCCUUACUCAGUGUAGGAGCAUCGCUGGUGGGGACGUACUCGGGUGGAGCUGCCCUAGCUGCCAUUUCAUCUGAGUCAGUGACACUGGGAUCAACAGUUCUGCGGCAGUCUCUCAGUCACUCACAAUCUGCUCUCAGCACCACAGCCGCCGCCAAUUCAGCCACACAGGUUGAAAUAGUGGGAAAACCACAGCCAGCUUCUCACAGCCAACCUGCAACCCCAGGCACUGAACAUGAGCUCCAGCAAUACCCUGUGCCAGACGUGUCCACUUACCAGUAUGAUGAGAGCUCUGCCUACUAUUACGACCCACUCACAGGCCUCUACUAUGAUCCUAACUCCCAGUACUAUUUCAACCCUCACAGUCAGCAUUACAUGUACUGGGAUGGAGAGAAACACACUUACAUUCCUGCUGCCAGCCAGUCGAACACAGACGGAGCUUCGAUGAGUGAAGGCAUGGCCCCGUCAGACUCACUGUUUGCUUCUCCUGGCAGCAAGGAGAAAAAAGACAAGCCCAAGAGUAAAACUGCUCAACAGAUUGCCAAAGAUAUGGAGCGCUGGGCUAAGAGUCUCAAUAGACAGAAGGAGAACAUGCGCUCUGUCUCCUCCUCCCCUGCUGUCGGCUCGACGCCGCUGCCUCCUGGUUACACCCGAGCGCCGGGCCACAGUCGAGUAGAUGACCGCAGAGAGUCUGCGAGUGCGGAUGCAGGCUAUGCAGUUCUGGAGAAAAAGGGGGCACUGUCUGAACGGCCUCAGAUUUUUUUGGACCAGAUCAGACAAAGUACAGAAAGUUCUCCUCCUCAGCAGCAAGGUCUGGUCCCGGCCUACAGCGGAGAAACGGACAGUGAUGAAGAAGGAGGCGAAAAAGAUGAGAAGGAGGGGAGAUUGACAGACUGGGUUAAACUGGCCUGUCUGCUAUGUAGGAGACAAUUCCCCAGUAAAGAGGCCCUCAUCAGGCACCAGCAGCUCUCUGAGCUACAUAAGCAAAACUUGGAGCAGAGAAGAGCCCAGCAGGAAUCUGCAGGCAGAGAGAGACUUGCAGAUGGAUCUGAACCUCCUGAUCUAAAGAAGAGGAAGUUUAGCCCCAUGUAAGCAGCAGUGACAUAACAGACUGACUCUGUGGUGAUGUCCUGUAGUUGUUUCUGGUUAACAGUUGGUGUUGGAGUCCUCUUUGAUGGGAUCACAGGCUCCAGUCUUGGUGCCAGGAUGCUGCAGGGCGGAGUGAAAAAGGGAUUCCUACUGCGCAACAUGCAAGUAGAGUGAGACCCUCACCGUAGAUCCUCAACAUCCUGACAAAGGAACGUCCCGGACAAAAGGACAAAGCCCAGCACGCAACACUUCACCAUGAUCAUCAUAUAUAAACCUAUAAACCUCUUCAUUUUGGUUUGACUCUACAGUUACCUCAACAGUGGUAAUACAUAUGAACUGAACUGAUCCUGUAGCAGUGGAUGUCAGGAUAUUGCACAGAAUGCACCUUUUUUUUUUUUUGUUGCUUUCUUCCUGUAUGAUGCAGUUUUGCGUUCUCACUUGCUUCAGAGCUUGUGUCUGAUUAACAAGCCUUAAGUGUUUGGGAAACAUUUGCUGUGGGAACGUGAAAGAUCACUGAAGAUCUUUAUUUGGCAGCAAAUUAAAUUUUUCUAAUAUUACUGUCUAUGCACCAUAGAUUUUUUUUUUAAUUUAAUGUAAUAUGCCUUACCAUUCAGUGAAUGACUGAUCUGGGCAUAAAGUGUACAUACAUUUUAGAAUGAGCACUUUUAUACCACGGUGGGAGCUGUGAGACUUUGGCCUUGUGAAAUGGACAGGGUCGCACUAACACUAGUGUGUGGGUGAAAAGUGUGUCAGUUUGUUAUAUCACUUGUAUGAAUUCACAAUGUAAUACAUACUUUUCUCUGCAGAAAUUUAUUUUUUGAUGUGUAUUUGUUCAAACUUGUUUCAUUAAGCUUCUGUAAAAUAAUCAAGAAUAACACAUUUGCAUUGUUAUCGCUCAUAAUGGGCGAUGUCUUCUGUGGUGGAGCCAGUAAACGGAUGUGUCAUUUCCACAUAUUAACUUCCAAAAUUUCCAAAUGUGUUUUUGCAAGAUUUGAAAAAGAAAGAAGAGGAAUAUGA